rnacentral:rRNA from 1 species
AUUGAACGCUGGCGGCAGGCCUAACACAUGCAAGUCGAACGAGUGGCGGACGGGUGAGUAAUGUCUUGGAAACUGCCCGAUGGAGGGGUAUAACUACUGGAAACGGUAGCUAAUACCGCAUACCAUCGGAUGUGCCCAGAUGGGAUUAACUAGUAGGUGGGGUAACGGCUCACCUAGACGACGAUCCCUAGCUGGUCUGCUAGGAUGAGCAGCAAAACUGGAACUGAGACACGGUCCAGACACCUACGGGAAGCAGCAAUGGGGAAUAUUGCACAAUAAGCGCAAGCCUGAUGCAGCCAUGACGCGUGUAUGAAGAAGGCCUUCGGGUUGUAAAGUACUUUCAGCGAGGAGGCGUUACUCGCAGAAGAAGCACCGGCUAACUCCGUGCCAGCAGCCGCGGUAAUAC